rnacentral:misc_RNA from 1 species
GAUGAAGAACGUAGUGAAAUGCGAUAAGUAAUGUGAAUUGCAGAAUUCAGUGAAUCAUCGAAUCUUUGAACGCACAUUGCGCCCGCUGGUAUUCCGGCGGGCAUGCCUGUUCGAGCGUCAUUUCAACCCUCAAACCCCCGGGUUUGGUGUUGGGGAUCGGCUCUGCCUCACGGCGGUGCCGCCCCCGAAAUACAUUGGCGGUCUCGCUGCAGCCUCCAUUGCGUAGUAGCUAACACCUCGCAACUGGAACGCGGCGCGGCCAUGCCGUAAAACCCCAACUUCUGAAUGUUGACCUCGGAUCAGGUAGGAAUACCCGCUGAACUUAAGCAUAUCAAUAAGCGGAGGA